AUACGGAGGAUCCGAGCGUUAUCCGGAUUUAUUGGGUUUAAAGGGUGCGCAGGCGGCCAUUUAAGUCAGCGGUUAAAUCGUGGGGCUCAACCCCAUUCUGCCGUUGAUACUGGGUGGCUUGAUUGCGGUCGAGGUUGGCGGACUUCGUUGUGUAGCGGUGAAAUGCAUAGAUAUGACGAAGAACACCGAUUGCGUAGGCAGCUGACCAGAUCGCAAAUGACGCUCAUGCACGAAAGUGCGGGGAUCGAACAGGAUUAGAUACCCUGGUAGUCCGCACAGUAAACGAUGAAUACUUGUUUUCGGCGAUAUAAUGUCGGAGGCAAAGCGAAAGCGAUAAGUAUUCCACCUGGGGAGUACGCCGGCAACGGUGAAACUCAAAGGAAUUGACGGGG
rnacentral:rRNA from 1 species